CAUACAUACACACACAUACACAAUGUGUAUAGUAUGUAGUGCUGCAAAUCCAUCGAUGGAAAUAUCGAUAGUAUCGAUGGACUUUCUUUUGUUAGAUAGAUCGAUGGACGAUAGAUCGCUACAGACGCCAAGCCACAACACAUAGAUAACUAUUUACCACAUUAUUUAAUUGUUGGCGGUUCCUCCACGGAAAAUGGAAAAUUUUUUGAUCCCAUCUGAUAAAUGUGCUUCUUCGCCUGCAGACGCCAAUAAGGAAUCUUCAUUUGCUGUUACGGUACACACUGAAAAUAUUGCGCCUUGAGAAAUCUCAAGUAUGGAAGUUUUUCGAAAAAUGCCAAGAAAAAAACUUUGUGAAAUGCCUGUUGUGUGGGCAGCAUUAUAAAACGAGCGGGAACACAUCAAAUAUGCAAGAGCAUUUAAAGCGUGCACAUAAUGGAUCUCACGAUAAUUAAUUUUAGUUUUAAGCUCAAGACUUUUGUGAAAGAUAGUCAAGCUUUGUUUUUUAAUUUUAAGUUAAAUUUUAAGACUUGUUAAUUACAGUCGAACUUUUUGUUUUUUAGAUAUAAGAUAUAUAUGAACCAAAGUUUAUUUUUAGGAUUGACUGUUUUGUGAUGAACUGGAAUACAAAUAUUAUUUUUAUGAAUUAAGACGAAAAAUCAUGAAUUGUUUUGAACUUACUAAGUAUAAAUGUUUAUAAAGUUGAUUUUUUUCUAUGAAU